GCAAGUCGAACGGCAGCACGGGUGCUUGCACCUGGUGGCGAGUGGCGAACGGGUGAGUAAUAUAUCGGAACGUGCCCUAGAGUGGGGGAUAACGUAGCGAAAGUUACGCUAAUACCGCAUACGAUCUACGGAUGAAAGUGGGGGAUCGCAAGACCUCAUGCUCGUGGAGCGGCCGAUAUCUGAUUAGCUAGUCGGUAGGGUAAAAGCCUACCAAGGCGACGAUCAGUAGCUGGUCUGAGAGGACGACCAGCCACACUGGGACUGAGACACGGCCCAGACUCCUACGGGAGGCAGCAGUGGGGAAUUUUGGACAAUGGGGGAAACCCUGAUCCAGCAAUGCCGCGUGUGUGAAGAAGGCCUUCGGGUUGUAAAGCACUUUUGUCAGGAACGAAACGGUGGGGGCUAAUACCCCCUGCUAAUGACGGUACCUGAAGAAUAAGCACCGGCUAACUACGUGCCAGCAGCCGCGGUAAUACGUAGGGUGCAAGCGUUAAUCGGAAUUACUGGGCGUAAAGCGUGCGCAGGCGGUUGUGCAAGACAGAUGUGAAAUCCCCGGGCUUAACCUGGGGAUUGCAUUUGUGACUGCACGGCUAGAGUGUGUCAGAGGGGGGUAGAAUUCCACGUGUAGCAGUGAAAUGCGUAGAUAUGUGGAGGAAUACCGAUGGCGAAGGCAGCCCCCUGGGAUAACACUGACGCUCAUGCACGAAAGCGUGGGGAGCAAACAGGAUUAGAUACCCUGGUAGUCCACGCCCUAAACGAUGUCUACUAGUUGUCGGGUCUUAAUUGACUUGGUAACGCAGCUAACGCGUGAAGUAGACCGCCUGGGGAGUACGGUCGCAAGAUUAAAACUCAAAGGAAUUGACGGGGACCCGCACAAGCGGUGGAUGAUGUGGAUUAAUUCGAUGC
rnacentral:rRNA from 1 species